CAAAACCAUGGUCCUGGCUUUAACAUCAGUUUUAACCCAAAUUACACAUGCAAGUACCCGCGCCCCAGUGAGGAUGCCCUUUAUCCCCGAUAUGCGAGGAGAGGAGCAGGCAUCAGGCACGCAUACGUGCAGCCCAUAACGCCUUGUUUAGCCACACCCCCAAGGGAAUUCAGCAGUGAUUUACUUUAAGCAAUAAGCGAAAGCUUGACUAAGUUAAGGUUAAUUUAGGGCCGGCAAAACUCGUGCCAGCCGCCGCGGUUAGACGACGAGGCUCAAAUUGAUGUUCCACCGGCGUAAAGCGUGAUUAGAUAAAUUAAAAAACUAAAGCCAAAUACACCCAUAGCUGUUAUACGCUUACGGACUACUAGGCCCCACCACGAAAGUGGCUUUAACACACUAUUGAGUUCACGACCGCUAAGAAACAAACUGGGAUUAGAUACCCCACUAUGCUUAGCCGUAAACAAUGAUGGAAUCUUACAAACACCAUCCGCCAGGGGAUUACGAGCAAAGCUUAAAACCCAAAGGACUUGGCGGUGUCUCAAACCCACCUAGAGGAGCCUGUCCUAUAACCGAUAAUCCACGAUUAACCUCACCCUUCCUUGUAAAAUCAGCCUAUAUACCACCGUCGCCAGCUUACCUCAUGAGAGACCAAAAGUAAGCUAAAAGGGCACAGCCCAGAACGUCAGGUCGAGGUGUAGCCGAUGGAAGGUGGAAGAGAUGGGCUACAUUUUCUGAAACAGAAUAUCACGAAAGGCGUUAUGAAAAAAACGCAAUUGAAGGUGGAUCUAGCAGUAAAGAGUUAGCAGAGAGUUCUCUUGAAAUUGGCCAUGAGACGCGUACAUACCGCCCGUCACUCUCCUCUUAGCAUUUACGAAGCAGAUAUAUAAACAAUUAGUAUUAGCUAACCUAGAGGAGGCAAGUCGUAACAAGGUAAGUGUACCGGAAGGUGCACUUGGAACAAUU
rnacentral:ncRNA from 1 species